rnacentral:ncRNA from 1 species
AAUCAAAUCAGAAAUAGAGGUGGCUGGCAAAAAUUUGUCGGCAUAAUAGGGAAACAGGUGAAAAUCCUGUACGGUACCGCCGCUGUGUAAGAAGAGUUUUUCCAGGAAUACCACUGGUCAUUCGGGAAGGUAGGAAAAAUGAAGACGCUUGAGUCAGAAAACCUGCCUGUAUGGAUAUUCAUUAU